GGGGGUAUAGUAUAACCUGGUAGUACUGCGGGCUCCAGACCCGCUGAUCUGGGUUCAAAUCCCAGUGCCCCCACCA
rnacentral:tRNA from 1 species